UUCCGCUACAUGUAUUCCGUGUA
rnacentral:siRNA from 1 species